rnacentral:rRNA from 1 species
UACGUAGGGUGCAAGCGUUGUCCGGAAUUAUUGGGCGUAAAGAGCUCGUAGGCGGUUUGUCGCGUCUGCUGUGAAAAUCCAGGGCUUAACCCUGGACCUGCAGUGGGUACGGGCAGACUAGAGUGCGGUAGGGGAGAUCGGAAUUCCUGGUGUAGCGGUGAAAUGCGCAGAUAUCAGGAGGAACACCGGUGGCGAAGGCGGAUCUCUGGGCCGUAACUGACGCUGAGGCACGAAAGCCAGGGGAGCAAACGGG